UUGUGGAGGAGGACGCCGAAGGUGGGGCUAAUGACUGGGGUGAAGUCGUAACAAGGUAGCCGUACCGGAAGGUGCGGCUGGAUCACCUCCUAACAGGGAGACAACAAAAUGUUUAAUAUUAUUAUUUUGUCACCUUAGGUCGAUCGGUAUCUCACUUUUUUAAUUUAUUAAGAAUUUCAUUUCCUAAGUUUUUCUAGGUCACACCCAUUAUUUUCCCUGGGCCAUUAGCUCAGGUGGUUAGAGCGCACCCCUGAUAAGGGUGAGGUCCCUGGUUCAAGUCCAGGAUGGCCCAUAUCUCUAUGUUGGGGGUAUAGCUCAGUUGGUAGAGCGCCUGCUUUGCAAGCAGGAUGUCAGCGGUUCGAGUCCGCUUACCUCCACUGAUUACCACCUCUUCCAUAAUUUGUAGAAAGGAAAUUUUUGAGUUGUGGUCAAAUUCUGAACGAAUCUAGCUUCCUAAUGAAAUUAUUAAGAUGCUGGACUCAUUGAAUUAUUUUCAUUGUUUUCAGAGAACCUUGACAACUGCAUAGAUUAUUUUUAAAGACAAUAAGCAUCUUUAAUGAUGCAGAUUUAUUAUUUGUGCGAAUGCAUUAAUAACAAUUCUAUUAAGCUGAUGCUUCUAUUUUGAAGUUAUUGGUCAAGCUACAA
rnacentral:misc_RNA from 1 species